UGAUAAAUUGCCUCUCCGAUAAGAUUGGAACGAUAUAGAGUAAGAAGGUAUGGCCUCUGUGCAAGGAUGACACGCACAAAUAGAGAAAUAGUCUCCUCUUCU
rfam:Nicotiana attenuata strain TT chromosome 10, whole genome shotgun sequence.